GAUGAACGCUAGCGGCAGGCCUAAUACAUGCAAGUCGUACGGUAACAGGCGUAGCAAUACGUGCUGACGAGUGGCGCACGGGUGCGUAACACGUAUGUAAUCUGCCCAUAACUGGGGGAUAGCCCGGAGAAACCCGGAUUAAUACCCCAUAACACAACGAGGUGGCAUCACCAUGUUGUUAAACCUCAGGGGGUUAUGGAUGAACAUGCGUCCGAUUAGCUAGUUGGCGGGGUAAAAGCCCACCAAGGCUACGAUCGGUAGGGGUACUGAGAGGUUACACCCCCACACUGGUACUGACGACACGGACCAGACUCCUACGGGAGGCAGCAGUAAGGAAUAUUGGACAAUGGAGGCAACUCUGAUCCAGCCAUGCCGCGUGAAGGAUGAAGGCGCUAUGCGUUGUAAACUUCUUUUGAACGGGAGAAAACCCUCUUACGUGUAAGAGGCUGAUAGUACCGUUAGAAUAAGGGUCGGCUAACUUCGUGCCGGCAGCCGCGGUAAGACGAAGGACCCGAGCGUU
rnacentral:rRNA from 1 species